CCUAUCAACUUAUGAUGCCACUUCUGCGCCUACCAUGGUGACCACGGGUAACGGGGAAUCAGGGUUCGAUUCCG